AUCGCUUCUCCGCCUAUUGGCUAAGAUCAAUUGUUGUAUCUGUUCUUAUCAGUUUAAUACGUUGUUUCUCAUCAUCAUCAUCAUUAUCUGCCGCUUAUCUGGGGCCGGGUCGCAGGGGCAGCAGUCUAAGCAGGGAUGCCCAGACUUUGCUCUCCCUGGCCACUUCCUCCAGCUCUUCCGGGGGAACCCCCG